UGUAUUUUUAAUCAAAUAAAUGUAACCUUGAUGAGCAUAAGACACUCUUGUAAAAAACAUAAAAAAAUCGUUCUGAUACCAAACAUUUGACCGGUAGUGUAUAUAUACAUAAAAGGUGCGAGGUGACACUGGCUGUAGUACCGCAGAUCUCGCCACAUGGGUGCGCUGUUGUACUUUCUGCCGCGCCACAGUACAUUCUCUCUCUGCUCUCUCUCUGCUCUGCUCUUGUUUAGUGUGUGCCACACGCCCUCACAGUUUCUGUCACACACUCAGACAACGUGAGUUCAGAAUCCGGUUGUCUUAAGUUAAACGCACUAAGAAACACCUGAACGAACAGAGACGGGCUGCUGUCCGGUAUCUGACUCGGGUCUCACUCUGAGCACAUCAUUGGUUCCGGUGACAUCCGUUACCAUACCGCACUGAUGACAUCUUAUUUAAUCACGCAGCAGACGACAAGACAAGAAACCUGUGCUAUCAGGUGAGAGCCUCGGUUCAACAGCACUAAACAAAGUCUCUCUAUUUGUCCCUGCCACUUUCUCUAUCACCGCCUCUUCACUCCUUUAUAUAAAAAUGGGGGUUUAAAAUUGAAUUUGCAGCAGGUGUGUGUGUGUCUCAAUCACACCUAUAGGGUUUAUGCAAGGCGCGCGCACACACACAGUCAUUAGUACCCAAAUGACCUGCUGUGACAGAACUGCAGCCAGACUCUUGCAUUCUGCUUCCUGCUCACUGGCCCAGAAAUCCAAUCUCCCCCAUCAUCCAUCUCCACGUGUGUGUGUGUGUGUGCGCGCGUGCGCAUGGCAGCGUGUGUGUCUUGAAUGCAGGUGUUAAUGUGUUUUGUGCCUUAUCUCACUCAGCCAAAGACACUACAUAAAAAAUAUGCAGCUCAGAAAGAGCAAGAAAGAAGGGGUACACUGCAGUGUUCACUCUUCUGUUUCACUGGGGACAUCAGGAACAGGUAAAAUUGUGAUGCCGACCGCCCGCUGUGUACCCUGACCUUUACUCUGGAACCAGGAUUUAUGGAACAGUUGUGAAAUAUAUCUGUAUAUAUAAGGCAGCGAAUUUGUGAGUGUUGAAAAACAAUGCACAAACCCUUGACUACUGCAACCAAACCUUGCUCUUAUUCUUUUGAUAGCCAUAAAAUUGGUACAGCUUUUCUACAGCCAUUUUUAUGGUUUCUUGGUGCUCGGUUUCUGCCCUUGUGACCCGCUGGAAUAUCGUGACUUCACAAUAUAUGUGGUUCAUUGUAAGUUGCUGUGGUAAGAAGCAGCAAAAUAAAUGGAAAUGGAAAUGUGCAG
ensembl:lncRNA